AAAAGAAAAGCCCUGGCACACAUAGGCGCCAGGGCUUCCUUCUACGCGCUUUUACAAACGCAGAAGGCAAAGGGAGAGGAGAAACCGGAGGAAGAACUUAUGGGGAAACGUAAGUCUUCUCCGCGG
rfam:Bacillus sp. FJAT-27986 scaffolf1, whole genome shotgun sequence.